rnacentral:misc_RNA from 1 species
GAUGAAGAACGUAGCGAAAUGCGAUAAGUAAUGUGAAUUGCAGAAUUCCGUGAAUCAUCGAAUCUUUGAACGCACAUUGCGCCCCCUGGCAUUCCGGGGGGCAUGCCUGUCCGAGCGUCAUUUCUGCCCUCCAGCCCGGCUGGGUGUUGGGCGCUGUCCCCCCGGGGACACGCCCCAAAGGCAGUGGCGGCGCCGCGUCGGGUCCUCGAGCGUAUGGGGCUUUGUCACCCGCUCGGGACGGACUCGUCGGCGCUGGUCUUCCUCCAGGCGACCCUUCGGGGCUCGUCUUCCUUCGGUUGACCUCGGAUCAGGUAGGGUUACCCGCUGAACUUAAGCAUAUCAAUAAGCGGAGGA